UCUUAGUCAAAAUAUACGGUCAACUAUUUUAAAAUAGCGAUGGACAGUGACUCUUUGUCCGUCGCUUUUUGGUCAAAAUGGUUGGUCAACUUUUUAAAAGAAAAGCGACAGAUGGGAAGACGUUGUCGGCUGUUUUUCAUUAAAUAUUUCAAAUGACAGACUCGAUUUUUCCCAUUUUCCUCUCUUCCUUCUCUCUUCUUUCUUUCUUCCUUCUCUUGAAGUAUUCCGCCACUACCAUCAUCUCUUGCCACCGCCGCUGUUAUCGCUAGUUGCUGCCAUCGUAGCUUCCAGCAAUCUCCAUUGUCUCUUUCUCCAUUAAUUUAAGGUGACAUCCUAUAAAGGAUGGUGCUCGGGCUUUAAAGACUGUAUUAGAAAACUCUAUACACAGGCUUAUCACUCUUUAAGAGAGAUUCCAAACAGUAUAUACCAGACAAUGUUUAAUGAAUACUGUGUGUAGUUGGGAGUUAAGGUACAAAUUGGUCAUUGGGACCACAUUUGAGAGGAGGGAAUUCGCGAGACUAUCUGGAUGGAUAAAUAAAGUUUGGGAUAGUGAUGAACGUCCGGAUUGGAUGUUACCUCAUGUUUUAGAUGAUUUGCGUCUAUAUUGGAACAUUGAUAAGGCAAUGUACGAAAAAGCCAAAAAGGCUAGAGGCACUCUUGAGGGUGGCUCGUUGCACACAUGAGGUGCAAAGACUGUUGGAACAAUUACAAGACAGAGGGAAAAAGAAUUGGGGCACCCUCCCGUUGAACCAGCGAUUUUAGAGAAGACUCAUGUAAAUAAAAAAGAAAAUGAGUCAGAUCCGAAUAUAUAUAUAUAUAUAUAUAUAUAUAUAUAUAUAUAUAUAUUGAAUAUAUUUAUGAUAUGUAUAUACAUUGAUGCCAAUUUUUCUAUUGAAUAUGCAAAAUGAGUUUCAUCAGUACGUCGCUCAGAAUCUAGAUAAUUUAGUCAAAACGACACCAAAACUGGCCACCCAAAUUUGGAAAGAAAAGUGGUAGAGGGAAUACACAAGGGUAAAGUCUAUGUUGUAGGCUCUCGAAACGAUGUAAUACGAUUUCAGUCAGGCUUAGAAGGUAUAGGAUCGUUACAUCAAGUCGAAACACUUGAAGGUGUUCAGAUUAUUGUUAUGUCAACUCAAAUAGCACAACAUACACGACAUUGGCAGAGAGUCGGAGCGGACAAAAGCAGUUUAACAAUAAAGUACGAGUGAGAUCGUUCAGGAGAUCAAACAACUGGUGUUGUACAUCGCUCAUCGACCUACUACAUCUUCUCCCGCCAAGGACACCGACAAUGAUAAUGACGAGGAUGAUUAUUUUGUAGAUUGCAAUCCCUAGUUUAGGUAUCUUUCAUGACUUUUUGAAACUAAUUUUGAAUAAGUUUAUAAGUUUUUAAUUUGUCAUUUAGAUAUUUUUGAAUAUUGAUUUAAGUUUUAUGUUUUAUAUGUUAUGUGAUGUUAUUGUUUGA